AUAACCAUUUCAAGAAGCUCCUUACCACUCUCUAUUUUGCAGGCGCUUGUGAAGAAAGCAAGCAUACAUGCCACAGCAGCACGUAGGUUGCUCUGUCAGGAUGGGGGGGGAUCCGACUUUCUGCCGUUUGUCAUAACAGCAGUGGCAGGAGAAGGAAAAUAAAACCAGCUUAUCAUCCUAGCACGCAUCCAGCCCCGGCAGCUGGGGGAAACAAAAGCGAAGAGAUGUAAGGCACAGGUGGAAGCACUGGAUGCGGCGUGUGCUCGGAGGAGCAAGGAGGUCACUGGAGCCCUGUGUGAUGGUGGGCUCUCACAGUGAACUCAUCCAGUGGUCCAUCCCGCCUGUGCAUUUCAUAAGAAAAAUUCCAUGUUGAGGUGAGAUGGAAAGCUCUGUGGUGGUGAAGGGGAGGUGAAGCAGUUUUGUGUCUUUUCUUUUACAUAUUCUAUGAGUGCAACAUUGAGCACACGCUAUAAUUUACAAUGACUUUGCCAGCAUAAAUUUACUAAUAUUUCACCCACAAUAAUUUUACCAACUGGACACUUUUUUUUUUUUCCAGCCUGUUCUGGCAGAGGAACUCACACAGAUAGAAAUCUGAUGGUGCAAUUGUACUAAAGAAAACCCUGCAAGCACAGCCAGGACUAAUUACUCUAACCUCAGACCUGGCUGCUGUCCACACGACGAGGCUCUGUGCCGGCACAUGGACUAGCAGAGUUUGUAGAGGAACAAACUGAUGGAGAAACAGGAAUGAAAGGCUACACUUGUGCAACCUUUAUGGCCCCAGAAAUACUUCAACAUACAAUGAAGAUGUUAUGCCAGUAAGUUUUGGUCCAUAGAUGCUACUACUUAGUAAGCCCAUAGGGUUAAGCCUAGAAAAAUGAGGAUCUUGAAGGCAUUUUAAAAUUCAUCUGUAUCUUGUAACCAAGUAAAGUUAUGUAAUUGCCUGUGCUGAUGUAAAGACGUGGAUGUAACCUUGAGACAUGGCUAUUCCUUUGGUAUUUGACAGAUUGUUGGUGAUCGUUUUCCAGAAUGAAUGGACUCCAGAGUGGGUUGAACAGGGUGGAGGAAGC
rnacentral:lncRNA from 1 species